rnacentral:rRNA from 1 species
AUGGCUCACUCUCGUCUCACCAUGGAUGACUUCAGCGAUUUCAAGCCAUCAACGAAGCAGAGGAGGCUGUUUGUUCCUCACGUCAGCGACUCAGAUGACCUCUUAUGGGCAACCCAGGUGACAUUCUUAAAGUGGGGUGGGGUGGUCUUAGGGUCGGCAAUCCAUCAUGCUGCUAUGGACGGAUCUGCUGUAUUCCACUUCUUAAGGACAUGGUCAGCUUUCUCCAGGGACGGCGACCGGGCUAUGGUGAACCUCCCCUGCCAUGACCGCUCGCGCUUGUGUGCGCGUGAUCCACCUGUUGUUCAUCCCGACGCACUUUCCAUUUUUAGCCCCAAGAUAAACCUACCGCCGCAGCCAGGGCCACUCGUCAACGAGGUUGUGGCCUUCACCCUUGGCAAGGACCAACUUUCCACUCUAAAGCACAUAUCUGGUGGUGAUAGCGUGAGCACGUUUAGCGCCGUGAGCGCCCACCUGUGGCAAUGCAUGUGUUUAGCCCGGCAGCUACCCCCGGAUGCUGCGACACAACUUAUGUUCUCGGCCAACGUCCGCCGCAUCAUGAGGCCACCACUCCCAGACGGCUACUUCGGCAACGCGAUAAUAAACCUAAGUGUCGGCGACAACGUGCAUGCCAUCACCUCGCGCGAGCUGAGCUACAUCGCGCAGCGAAUCAGAGACACCCACAGACGGGUGAACGACGAGCUAGUGCAUUCGGCAAUCGACUACCUCGAGCUAGCAAAGAGGGACGACGAGCGCCCGGCUACAGGCAAUUUGCCGGUGACUGUCAUUAGAGUUGUCAGCUGGCUUGGCAUGCCGUCAUACGAUGCGGAUUUCAGCUGGGGGAGGCCAUUGGCUAUGUUCCGUGCUGAACCAAACCGCGGAGGUUUUGUGCACCUGAUUGACAGCGCACAGGGUGAUGGCAGUGUGCGCAUCAUCAUGUCUAUAGAGGCUGCAAUUCUCAGCGAGUUGAAGCGUUUGUUGUAUGCCAAAUUCGACAACAUGUUGUAUUCUAAGUUUUAA